ACAUGCCUACAACAUAGCCUUAAUGGAUCGGAUCCCAUUAGAAAUUUGCAUUUAAGUGUGCUUAGGAUAGAGUAGUACUACGAUGGGUGACCGCUGAGGAAGUCCUAUUAUUUUACAUGCC
rfam:Picea glauca, whole genome shotgun sequence.